rnacentral:rRNA from 1 species
AACGAACGCUGGCGGCAGGCCUAACACAUGCAAGUCGAGCGGACCUUUCGGGGUCAGCGGCGGACGGGUGAGUAACGCGUGGGAAUAUGCCCUUCUCUACGGAAUAGUCCUGGGAAACUGGGGGUAAUACCGUAUACGCCCUUUGGGGGAAAGAUUUAUCGGGGAAGGAUUAGCCCGCGUUGGAUUAGGUAGUUGGUGGGGUAAUGACCUACCAAGCCGACGAUCCAUAGCUGGUUUGAGAGGAUGAUCAGCCACACUGGGACUGAGACACGGCCCAGACUCCUACGGGAGGCAGCAGUGGGGAAUCUUAGACAAUGGGGGCAACCCUGAUCUAGCCAUGCCGCGUGAGUGAUGAAGGCCUUAGGGUUGUAAAGCUCUUUCAGCUGGGAAGAUAAUGACGGUACCAGCAGAAGAAGCCCCGGCUAACUCCGUG